rnacentral:tRNA from 1 species
GAAAUAAAAUAAGUUAAACUUCUAAUUUAACAAUAUAGUGAUUAAUCAUUAAUAUUUCU